ACGGAAAGUGGUUGGCUGCAGUUGU
rnacentral:piRNA from 1 species